rnacentral:rRNA from 1 species
CGCAUCUGUGCAUGCAGCAUAUCAAUAGCGGAGGAAAAGAAACUAACAAGGAUUCCCCUAGUAACGGCGAGUGAAGCGGGAAGAGCCUCAAAUUUGAAAUCUUAAAGGGUUUCCCUUUACGAAUUGUAGUUUAAAGAAGUGUUUUCUGUUGAGGUUUUGGUAAAAGUUCUUUGGAAUAGGACAUCAUAGAGGGUGAGAAUCCCGUAUUUGACCUUUACUUUCAACUUUGUGAUACACUUUCAAAGAGUCGGAUUGUUUGGGAAUGCAGUCCAAAAUGGGUGGUAAAUUUCAUCUAAAGCUAAAUAUUGGCGAGAGACCGAUAGCGAACAAGUACCGUGAGGGAAAGAUGAAAAGAACUUUGGAAAAGAGAGUUAAACAGUACGUGAAAUUGUCAAAAGGGAAGCGUUUGACACCAGUGUUGUUUUUCUGAAAAUCAAUUAAAGAACUGUUUAUGCUAAGUUGUUUAGACUUUAUCAGCUAAUCUGUUUAGUUUUGAGCUUUUCUUUAAUGCACUUUUCAGUUAACAAGUCAACAUCAAUUUCUUUUGCUGUAAAAAAGCUUGAGGAAGGUGGCUUGAGAUUCGUCUUAAGUGUUUAUAGCCUCUUGCCUAUGCAGUCGGAGAGAUUGAGGUCUGCAGCGUAGAUCCUUCGGGGCUAAAUGCAUUUGUGCUAAGUUAUAGCAUUUUAUAGACAACUUGUUGACUAUGAUUUGUCUUGUAGCUUACUCGCUUAUGUUAUUUUACCUACGCUUAGGAUGUUGACGAGACUGUCGAUCU